GACGAACGCUGGCGGCGUGCUUAACACAUGCAAGUCGAACGGUAAGGCUCCAGCUUGCUGGGGUACACGAGUGGCGAACGGGUGAGUAACACGUGGGUGACCUGCCCUGCACUUCGGGAUAAGCCUGGGAAACUGGGUCUAAUACCGGAUAGGACCAUGGUGUGGAUACUGUGGUGGAAAGUUUUUUCGGUGUGGGAUGGGCCCGCGGCCUAUCAGCUUGUUGGUGGGGUAAUGGCCUACCAAGGCGGCGACGGGUAGCCGGCCUGAGAGGGUGGACGGCCACAUUGGGACUGAGACACGGCCCAGACUCCUACGGGAGGGAGCAGUGGGGAAUAUUGCACAAUGGGCGGAAGCCUGAUGCAGCGACGCCGCGUGGGGGAUGACGGCCUUCGGGUUGUAAACUCCUUUCACCAUCGACGAAGGGUUUCUGACGGUAGAUGGAGAAGAAGCACCGGCUAACUACGUG
rnacentral:rRNA from 1 species